rfam:Triticum urartu cultivar G1812 contig62250, whole genome shotgun sequence.
GGACUACUCCCUCCGUUCGGAAUUACUUGUCGUAGAAAUGGAUGUAUCUAGACAUUUGUUAGUUCUAGAUACAUCCAUUUCUGCGACAAGUAAUUUAGAACGGAGGGAGUAGUAC